rnacentral:rRNA from 1 species
CGGGUGAGUAACGCGUGAGGAACCUGCCUCAAAGAGGGGGACAACAGUUGGAAACGGCUGCUAAUACCGCAUAAGCCCACGGCUCGGCAUCGAGCAGAGGGAAAAGGAGCAAUCCGCUUUGAGAUGGCCUCGCGUCCAAUUAGCUAGUUGGUGAGGUAAUGGCCCACCAAGGCAACGAUCGGUAGCCGGACUGAGAGGUUGAACGGCCACAUUGGGACUGAGACGCGGCCCAG